GCUCUCUCUCUCUCUCUCUCUCUCUCUACCAGGCCAGCAUUCUUAUUUGCGAUUUGUGGAUUAUGGCAGAAGCACUAACCCAAGUAGUUGUGGAGAAUCUCAAUUCUCUGAUCCGAAGAGAGUUUGGAUUGCUAUUGGGCUUCCAAAAGGAAAUGGAAAAGCUAUCCAGCUUGCUCUCAACCAUUCAGGAUGUUCUGGAAGAUGCAGAGGAGAAACAACUGAAAGAUAAGGUCCUGCGCAAUUGGCUGCUAAAGCUCAAUGCUGCUGCUUAUGAAGUGGAUGAUAUCUUGGAUGAUUGCGCAACUGAAGCCUCCAAGCUUCAAAACAAAGACCAAACAUUCAUCAAACGCCUGGUAAGUAAUCCUGUAGGGAACAUUUUGUUUUGUCACAGGAUUGGGAAAAGAAUGGAAGCAGUGAUACAAAAACUGGACGCCAUAGCUGAGGAGCGGAUUAAGUUCCAUUUGAGGGAAAUAGGUGAUAGGAUGCCAGUUUAUGAAACGCGUGAGACUGGAUCAAUCUUGAUGCAGACGAGUAUCUUUGGAAGGGAUCAAGAUAAGGAGAGAAUUAUAGAGAUAUUGAUUGAUGAAACAAGUGGUUGUGAAGAUGUUUCAAUCCUACCCAUAUUAGGAAUUGGGGGUUUAGGAAAGACUACCCUUGCCCAAAUGGUUUUCAAUGACCAAAGGGUGUUUGGACACUUUGAUCUAAGACUUUGGGUAUGUGUUACAAGUGACUUUGAUGUCAAGAGAUUGAUAAAGGAAAUUUUAGAAUCCGCCACUAGGAAUGGUUCUGAUGCAUUGAGACUAGAUCCUCUACAGAGAAGCCUUCAAGACUUGUUAAAUAAAAAAAGAUUCUUACUUGUGUUGGAUGAUGUAUGGGAUGGGGAUCAAGAUAAGUGGGAUAGCUUGAAAGAUGUUCUUGCUUAUGGAGCAACAGGGUCUUCUAUUAUCAUCACUACUCGUCUUGAGAAGGUUGCAAUGAUUGUGGGGACUCUACCUACUUAUUGUUUAUCCGGUUUGUCAGACGAAGAUUGUUGGUCGCUUUUCAAACAGCGUGCAUUUGAGAAAGAAACAGAAGGAGGAGCUAGACUAGAGGAAAUUGGUAGGGAAAUUGUGACAAAAUGUGGGGGUGUACCUCUAGCUGCAAAAGCUCUUGGAGGAUUUAUGCGUUUUAAGAAAGAAGAGAAGGAAUGGUUAUUAGUAAAAGAAAGUGAAAUUUGGAACUUGCCACAAGGGGAGACUUGUAUUUUGCCUGCCCUCAGAUUGAGUUAUCAUAACCUUCCUUCUGAGUUGAGAAGAUGUUUUGCAUAUUGUUCUGUAUUUCGCAAGAGAACUGCAAUUAAGAAGGAAAAGCUGAUUCAUCUUUGGAUAGCGAAUGGAUUCAUUUCAUCCCGUGGAAGUUUGGAAAUUGAGGAGGUUGGAAAUGAGGUGUGGAAUGAGUUGUACCUGAGAUCCUUUUUCCAGGAUGUGCAGAAGAAUGACUUUGGAGAGGUUACUUUUGAAAUGCACGACCUCAUUCAUGACCUUGCCCAUUUUGUGAUGGAGGGCAGCCGGAUUAGCCAGCAGAUGUUACUCAGAGAUCAUUAUCUAUCACUACCACUUAUUAUCACAACUCAAAUACUUAAGGAGCCUUCAAAAUUCAGUCGCCUUCGAGUGUUGGAUGCAAGUUGGCAAUUGGAAAAAAUCACAAAAGUACCAUCUGCAAUUGGCAGUCUUUAUCACCUAAGGUACUUAAGUUUUUCGCACACCAGAAUUCAAAUGUUACCUGAUAGGAUAUGUGAUCUAUGGAAUUUACAAAUUCUAAAUCUGGAUUUCUGCCGGGUGCUUCAAAGUUUACCCAAGCGCAUUUCUCGCCUUAAAAAUCUCCGGCAUCUUUGCUUGUUAGGUUGUCCCCUAAUUGAAAUGCCCCCCAGUAUUGGUCAGUUAACUUGCCUAAAAACAUUAAACAUGUUUGUUGUCGGCAAACAAAGAGGUUUUGAGAUUAGUGAAUUGCGAGACUUGAAUCUUGGAGGUAUUCUUCGUAUCACAAACCUGGAGAAAGUGAAAAGCUUUGAGGAUGCAAAAGAGGCCAAUUUAAGAGGAAAACAAGAUCUUCGACACUUGUGGUUGUCAUGGGAUUCUGAAAACGAUACUAGUAAUGCACAUAUUCAUCAUGAUCAUGACAUACUUAAUUACCUUGUUCCUCAUUCCCAACUUCAUUCUUUUAGAAUAUAUGGCUUCAGAGGUACAACAUUUCCAUUUUGGAUGAGCAGUCCAAUAAUGAAAGAUGUCAUCGAAAUAAGUCUAUUGAACUGCAAAAAUUGUUUCAAUCUUCCACUACUUGGGGAGCUACCUUUAUUGAAAAUUUUGAAUUUAGUAGGACUUCCUAUUGAGUAUGUUGACAAUGAAUUCCCUGGCUUGAUGAGAAUAAGGAGGUUCCCAUCAUUGACUAAACUCAAAAUGAAUAACCUUCCAAAGCUGAGAAAAUUAUCCAGGCAGGAAGGACAUGAGCUGCUGCUAUUUCCUCAUCUCUGCAAGUUGGAAAUAAGCAACUGCCCUUCAUUUAUAUCUCUGCCAGAAAACUUACUGCAUAACCUCAAUCAUUUGGAGGUAUUGAGUAUUAGCAGGCUUGAUAAGCUUCAAAUGCUGCCUACAAGCCUUUCAAGCUUGACUCGUCUCCAGUAUCUGCACAUAGAUGGCUGUCCUAAACUUGUGUCUCUUCCACAAAGCAUUCAGAGAAUGGAAAAUCUUAAAGUCUUGUCAAUAACGCAGGGGUGCCCAGAACUGCAAAGGCGAUAUGAUAAGGGAAAUGGGGCGCACUGGCGUGACAUUGCUCACAUCCCAAAUGUGUAUAUUAUUCCGUAGGAUAUAAUCUGAUAAGACCGCUUUCUCUCUCUCUGCAAUGCUUUGAAACGCAUUACACUUGAGGUGCUUGUAUGGUGAACCUUUGGUUUCUGCUGUGAAAUCGGAUUUCACGGUGAAGAUUCAUUAACUCCUCAAGUGCAAUCCACACAAAAGAAUGUCAUUGAAGGUGACCAGGUGAUUGCUAUUCAUUAAGGAAUUGGGUCUGCAUUCAUGCAGUGAUUGGAGCCGGGCAUCUCUAAUGCACCAUUUUGAGGGGAGAAAGUCUUGGGCUAAGGGGGGACCAUAAACCAUGGUCCAUGAUAUAAUUUGUCAAGUUGGUGAUUGGUUGUGAGCAUGGGGUGUAUGGUGAGUGCAAGUGUAAUGUCGUCCUUUUGAGAUUAGGGAUUAUGGCACGUAAUAUGUAAUAACAAGAAAGUAAGCACUCAAUUGUUAUACCAUGAACCAGGGUUCAUAUGGUAUUGUGAACCCUGAUACAAAAAUUAUAUACCUUCAGUUAACACAUUCUGUACCUACAGUAAACAAUUUAUGUACAUG